UAGAUUUACCAGAAGUAUAUCCUGGAUUAUCCUAUGGGGAGGAAACUGAGAUCACAUCUGGACUUCAUCGUGGCCCAGCUCCGUUAUGAGUUUGACACAGGAAGAGAGGCUUCUCUGAAGCUGAUGGCCUAUAUCUUCCAGACCUUCCCUCGGGUAUCCACAACAAUCCUCCUGACACACACACAUCCCAUAAUUACUUGAGUUCGACUCGCAGUAACUCUGAUCGCUUUCUAUACCCACUGCUCCUGGUCGAAGUUGGCUAUAGAAACAGAUCCCACAUACUAACCAUUUAGAGGGAAUAAACUCAAAACUGACCUUAGAUCAGUUUGUUUUGGGACAACCUAAUUCUACUCCUGUGUGUAACUGAUUAGUCUCUGUCCUGGAACCUGCUGCUGCAGCACAGUGGGAUGUUCCUCGUCACAAGGAGCAGAGGCUGUUUGUGGAGGUAGAGGGGGUUUGGUUUGGCCUCUGUUUAGAUGCCCUGCUACCCCUCAUCGAGAAAGAGAUCCACCCUGACAACUUUGAAGACAUUGAGGAGGAGGAGAAGGCAGCAGACAGACUGCUGUUCAGUUACCUCACCCUGGUCACCAAACUCACCAAGGACUGUAGCCUACUGGAGCUCAGCAAGUCUCAAGACCUACUCACUAACAUCCUGGACCCCACCCUGAAAAACCUGUCCCAGGAGCUGUUGAGGCUGCAGACCUUCUCAGCCGUUCAGAAGGAUGCCUCACAGAGGGCGGCCCACCACAAGAAACACAAGGCUAUGCAGGCGGUGGUUAACCCUGAUAUCGCAGCCAGGACAAAACACAAAAACAAGAUCAAGAAGGAAGAUUGAGUUUCUGAGGCCUGGCUACAAAGCCAAGAGACAGAGGAACUCACUCAAGGACUUGGCUAUGGUGAAAUUAUAUUAUCCAUGUUCUAGCAAGGAUGGAUGAGAAGACCAGGCAAUCAUAUCCUGCUUAAUGCAGGAGCUGACAGUCACCUCUGUAUGAAUUCUUAGUCAAGGAUUUGAGAAGUCCAAGAUUGUCUAAGGGGUUUACACACACACAUUUUUCAAUUAAAUACUAUAUUGUGCUGCUUU